rnacentral:snRNA from 1 species
AUACUUACCUGGCAGGGGAGAUACCAUGAUCAUGAAAGUGGUUUUCCCGGGAUGAGGCUUAUCCAUUGUACUCCAGAUGUGCUGACCUCUGUGAUUUCCCCAAAUGUGGGAAACUCGACUGCAUAAUUUGUGGUACUGGGGGACUGCGUUCAUGCUCUCCCCUG